GUCUAAGAGGAUAAUUUAGCUAAGGUUCAGACUUCAAACUGUUACGUAACAUUGAAUGUGAAACAUGAACACUGUUGAAAUUCUUAUUCAUUCAACAUGAAAUUCUCUUACGAUGGGUGGCUGAAGAACAAUGAAUUCAGCUUCUCCAAGUCCUCCCAGUUCUUUUAGUUUUAACCAAUAAAAAAAAUGACCAUGGAAUACUUGAACAUGAAGGACCUGCUCCACAGCAAGGAGAGCUUUUUUCUGACUCCAGUAACAGCAGAAAUCAGGACUCGCAAUCUUAUAUGUCGUCAAACAACAAACUUUCUGAAAUGCAGUAUCUUAGCCAUAAACAUGCUUGCGAAAAAAGGCUAAAUUCUAAUGUUAUCCCAAUGUACUUGGCAUUAUUAACCACAGAUCAGCUUUUGAGUUGCGGCCUUGCCAAGAAUCAUUGACGAGUCUUCAUCUGAAUCUGACUGAGCUGCUGAGGGUAAAGCUAGGUGGGAGGCAGUUAAAAUGGCUGCUGCCUUGAUCAACUGUCAUCCUGAGAAAGUUACACAGUUCUCCAAUGUUUUCUGGAAGAAAAUUAGGCUGAAUGGAAGAGAGCCCACUGAGAAAAAGGAAACCAACAAAACCACGGGAGAAAAUCAGGGUGGAGAAGAAGCAGGAGUGUGACUCCAGAUGGACAGAAAUGAAAGACAGGAAGAUAUCAAAGUGGAAAGAGGAGAGAGGGGUGGGGAACCACAGAGACUAUUUUAGUUUAAACAUCAUACAGUUUAUUAGAAAAACUAAACGAUAGUCUACAGUUAAAGAAAUGACAGCUGUAAAGUUCAUCUGCUAUGGUUCAGCUUUGCCCUUGUGUAUUUUAACAAUUUUAAUUAAAAUGUUACAUAAUUCUAAGCAAAUUUUGCUAAUAUGCUUCUGCGCCAACGUCAGGCAAUGAAACAUGGAAUACUCCUUACUCAGACCUCUAAAACAAUCAGUAAGUUCCAUAAAGUGUGUACUUACUGUCAAAAGGCCAAAACCAUAAAACUCCUGACUCUCUUAUACAAUGUGAAUGGAGCAUUAGAAAAUACACUGUAGGGAAUAAUCCUACGCUGGCAAGAAGACAGACUAGAUGACUUUACAGGUCUUUUCUAUCAAUUUCUAUGAUAUUAUCAGUGCAGUACUUAACCUUUCCUUGUUAAUCAUCUCUCUACUGACACGAGUAGUUUGAAGAGCUAUCAAUGUUUUCAAAUAUCCAAGGAGUUAAGAAAUGGCUUUAUCACUAGACCAUCUGACCUUAACCCUUGUUGCAGGACAAAAAGGUUCUUCUUCCAUACUUACAAAAAUAAAAACUACAGUAAUUUGGGGAUCA
rnacentral:lncRNA from 1 species